ACGGGGUGCAGCAGGCGCGAAAACUUCACAAUGUGGGCAACCACGAUGAGGGAAUUCCAAGUGCUCAUGCUUUGCAUGUGCUGUUUCUUAGCCUAAGUAGCUGGGAGAGUAAGGGCUGGGUAAGACGGGUGCCAGCCGCCGCGGUAAUACCCGCAGCCCGAGUGGUGAUCGGUUUUAUUGGGCCUAAAGCGUCCGUAGCCGGUCUGGUAAAUUCCUGGGUAAAUCGGGUCGCUUAACGAUUCGAAUUCCGGGAACACUGCCAGACUUGGGACUGGGAGAGGCCAGAGGUACUCCAGGGGUAGGGGUGAAAUCCUGUAAUCCUUGGGGGACCACCAGUGGCGAAGGCGUCUGGCUAGAACGGGUCCGACGGUGAGGGACGAAGCCCUGGGGCACAAACCGGAUUAGAUACCCGGGUAGUCCAGGGUGUAAACGCUGCGAGCUUGGUGUUGGGGGUCCCAAGUGGGCGUCCAGUGCCGGAGAGAAGUUGUUAAGCUCGCCGCCUGGGAGUACGUCGCAAGAC
rnacentral:rRNA from 1 species